rnacentral:rRNA from 1 species
AAGAUUUUUGAUUGGAGCAGCCGGGGGAGUGCCAGCCAGCCUGCGCUUAAUUGCGCGGCCGACGGUGCUUUCUGUUAACGGUUGUCUCUUUCUACACACACACUGUGGAGUUUUUUCUACUUUGCUACUUUUUCUUUGGGCGCAAGCCCUGAGGAUACAAAACACAAACAAUUUUUCAUGUUUAUUUUAGUCAAGAAAUUUUCAUUUUAAGAAAANAAAAUAUUCAA